GGGGAGAUGUAGUCCAGGAAACCGAUAAUGGCGGAGAAACUGUAGUCCAGGAUAUACCAGAAGCAGGAAGUGGUGAAGAAGAUCAAAAAAUUGAAAAUACGAUUCAAGAAAGAUCUGACCAGCCAACUUUUAGUUCAACACCCGAAACCAAUGACUCACCCCUUCUCGCUAUAACGAACAGACUGAGAAAUGAAGUAAGAAAUCGAAUCGGCUAGUCCAGCAUUCCCAUCAGAGAAGAAUCCAGACACCUGGCUUUUCACACAUUGACGGCUGUGAGCGAGCUUCUGUCUGCAGCCGGCAACCAAGAAGGAGUUCCUGAGCGCCUGGUUAUUCAGGCAUUGGCAGGCGUCGGCGAGCUUGUGACUGCACCAGGCAACCAAGAAGACCCCGGCUUCCGUUUGUCCAUCUUGGUGAAUAUGUGCUAUAUAAUGAAGAACAUUCUUGGAUGAAAAAAAGUCUAGUGAAUAAACAUGUCUGACCCGCAUUUAUCUCAG